rnacentral:rRNA from 1 species
AACCUGGUUGAUCCUGCCAGUAGUCAUAUGCUUGUCUUAAAGAUUAAGCCAUGCAUGUCUAAGUAUAAGCAUUUAUACCGCGAGACUGCGAACGGCUCAUUAAAACAGUUAUGGUUUAUUUGAUGGUUCCUUUGCUACUUGGAUAACCGUAGUAAUUCUAGAGCUAAUACAUGCACGAAGGGGCGACUCACGAAGCCCUGUAUUUAUUAGAUUAAAGCCAACCACCUCCGGGUGUUCGUGGUGAAUCAUAGUAACUUCUCGGAUCGCCGGCUCUACGCCAGCGACGUGUCAUUCAAAUUUCUGCCCUAUCAGCUUUAGAUGGUAGGAUAUGGGCCUACCAUGGCGGUGACGGGUAACGGAGAAUUAGGGUUCGAUUCCGGAGAGGGAGCCUGAGAAACGGCUACCACUUCUAAGGAAGGCAGCAGGCGCGCAAAUUACCCAAUCCUGACUCAGGGAGGUAGUGACAAGAAAUAACAAUAAACCGGCUUAUGCCGGUUUAAUUGGAAUGAGUACAAUUUAAACAUCUGAACGAGGAACAAUUGGAGGGCAAGUCUGGUGCCAGCAGCCGCGGUAAUUCCAGCUCCAAUAGCGUAUAUUAAAGUUGUUGCAGUUAAAAAGCUCGUAGUUGAAUUUCUAGGCAGGUUUAAUCUGGAUUCGUUCAGUUAUAUUUGUCUAUCCGAUAUUGAACUAUAUUGGGUAUUAAGUUAUCCAUAUAGCGAACUAUCAUUUUACUUUGAAAAAAUUAGAGUGUUUCAGGCAGGCAAUUGCCCGAAUAUCUUAGCAUGGAAUAAUGGAAUAGGACUUUGGUUCAUUUGAUUGGUUAUUGAAUCAGAGUAAUGAUUAAUAGGGACAGUUGGGGGCAUUAGUAUUUAAUUGUCAGAGGUGAAAUUCUUGGAUUUAUUAAAGACUAACUUAUGCGAAAGCAUUUGCCAAGGAUGUUUUCAUUAAUCAAGAACGAAAGUUAGGGGAUCAAAGACGAUCAGAUACCGUCCUAGUCUUAACUAUAAACUAUACCGACUCAGGAUUGGCGGGAGUAUUCAACUCCGUCAGCACUGUAUGAGAAAUUAAAGUCUUUGGGUUCUGGGGGGAGUAUGGUCGCAAGGCUGAAACUUAAAGGAAUUGACGGAAGGGCACCACCAGGAGUGGAGCCUGCGGCUUAAUUUGACUCAACACGGGGAAACUUACCAAGGCCAAACAGAGGUGGGAUUGACAGAUUGAGAGCUCUUUCUUGAUUCUUUGGGUGGUGGUGCAUGGCCGUUCUUAGUUGGUGGAGUGAUUUGUCUGGUUAAUUCCGUUAACGAACGAGACCUUAACCUGCUAACUAGUUUGUAUUCUCACAGAGUGCAAUACUUCUUAGAGGGACUAUAUAUGUUAAGUAUAUGGAAGUUUGAGGCAAUAACAGGUCUGUGAUGCCCUUAGAUGCCUUGGGCCGCACGUGCGCUACAAUGACAUGCUCAGAAAGUUCUAUCCUGGUUUGGAAAAAUCUGGGUAAUCUUUAUAGGACAUGUCGUGUUAGGGAUCGAUCUUUGGAAUUAUAGAUCUUGAACGAGGAAUUCCUAGUAAGUGCAAGUCAUCAGCUUGUACUGAUUACGUCCCUGCCCUUUGUACACACCGCCCGUCGCUGCUACCGAUUUCGAGUGUUCCGGUGAACCACAUAGACUUUGAACUGCUUGCAGUUUAAGGGAAGUGUAGUAAAUCUUAACACUUAGAGGAAGCAGAAGUCGUAACAAGGUUUCCGUAGGUGAACCUGCAGAAGGAUC